rnacentral:rRNA from 1 species
GUCCACGCUGUAAACGAUGUCAACUAGCCGUUUGUCCUAUUUACAGGAUUAGUGGCGCAGCUAACGCCUUAAGUUGACCGCCUGGGGAGUACGGCCGCAAGGUUAAAACUCAAAUGAAUUGACGGGGGCCCCGCACAAGCGGUGGAGCAUGUGGUUUAAUUCGAUGCAACGCGAAGAACCUUACCUACCCUUGACAUCCAGAGAAUCUGUUAGAGAUAGUGGAGUGCCUUCGGGAGCUCUGAGACAGGUGCUGCAUGGCUGUCGU